rnacentral:tRNA from 1 species
GGUGGGGCAUACAGUUAAUGCACUUGGCUGCUAACCAAAAGUUUGGAGGUUCGAACCCUUUCAGAGCCU